AAUAAAAUAAAUUAUGAAAACACAUUAAAACAUAAAAAUAAUCAAAGCAAACAGAAGAAAUGCUUAAGCACAAACAUGGAAGAACGUGCAUCAAAAUGCACUGAUCAAAUUCCCCCAUACUUGAACUUUUGCACUCCGAGCAAAAUGAAAAAUAAAACAAAACACAAACACAUCAACAGUUACUCAUUCUAGGCUACAAGUCAUCUUCGGUUAAGUUUGCAUCGAUAGGUACUAAUCUUGCACACUAAGGAUAUCG
rnacentral:lncRNA from 1 species